AUUGAACGCUGGCGGAAUGCUUUACACAUGCAAGUCGAACGGCAGCACGGGGCAACCUGGUGGCGAGUGGCGAACGGGUGAGUAAUAUAUCGGAACGUGCCCAAUCGUGGGGGAUAACGUAGCGAAAGUUACGCUAAUACCGCAUACGAUCUACGGAUGAAAGCGGGGGAUCGCAAGACCUCGCGCGAAUGGAGCGGCCGAUAUCAGAUUAGGUAGUUGGUGGGGUAAAGGCUCACCAAGCCAACGAUCUGUAGCUGGUCUGAGAGGACGACCAGCCACACUGGAACUGAGACACGGUCCAGACUCCUACGGGAGGCAGCAGUGGGGAAUUUUGGACAAUGGGCGCAAGCCUGAUCCAGCCAUUCCGCGUGCAGGAUG
rnacentral:rRNA from 1 species